CGGGUGAGUAAUGUAUAGGAACUUGCCUAGUAGUGGGGGAUAACGUGUGGAAACGCACGCUAAUACCGCAUACGCUCUACGGAGGAAAGCGGGGGAUCUUCGGACCUCGUGCUACUAGAUGGGCCUAUAUCAGAUUAGCUAGUUGGUAAGGUAAUGGCUUACCAAGGCGACGAUCUGUAGCUGGUUUGAGAGAAUGAUCAGCCACACUGGGACUGAGACACGGACCAG
rnacentral:rRNA from 1 species